UGGCCCAUGCACAGGAUUUGCCUUCAAACCACGGAGCAGACGGGAGUGUUAUGAGGCCAAUGGAUCUUGUAAAUAUAUCAAAUGUUCCUAUCCCUUGGUGAAACAUGGAAGAUGUGGCAUUCGGAAGGUUUGCUGUGUCAGCAUCCGAGACAGGGAGAACUUGGAUGCCCACCAGAUCACCUGGGAUCCUUUGAAUUAAGAGAGAGGCUGCUGAACAUCAGUAGCUGCCAGAUCCUGUGGCAUUGUCUGCUUUUGAAAAUCUGCGCCUGGCAACUGCAUCCAUUCCGCCUCCAAAGCUUGCAUGUUAGCAAUAAAACCAAAGCCGUGCAGUACAGUAUAAAAAUAAAUAAAUAAAUAAA